rnacentral:rRNA from 1 species
GAUGAACGCUGGCGGCGUGCCUAAUACAUGCAAGUCGAGCGAACAGACGAGGAGCUUGCUCCUCUGACGUUAGCGGCGGACGGGUGAGUAACACGUGGAUAACCUACCUAUAAGACUGGGAUAACUUCGGGAAACCGGAGCUAAUACCGGAUAAUAUAUUGAACCGCAUGGUUCAAUAGUGAAAGACGGUUUUGCUGUCACUUAUAGAUGGAUCCGCGCCGCAUUAGCUAGUUGGUAAGGUAACGGCUUACCAAGGCAACGAUGCGUAGCCGACCUGAGAGGGUGAUCGGCCACACUGGAACGGAGACACGGUCCAGACUCCUACGGGAGGCAGCAGUAGGGAAUCUUCCGCAAUGGGCGAAAGCCUGACGGAGCAACGCCGCGUGAGUGAUGAAGGUCUUCGGAUCGUAAAACUCUGUUAUGAGGGAAGAACAAAUGUGUUAGUAACUAUGCACGUAUUGACGGUACCUAAUCAGAAAGCCACGGCUAACUACGUG